GACGAACGCUGGCGGCGUGCCUAAUACAUGCAAGUCGAACGAGAGCAACCGGUGCUUGCACUGGUCAAUCUAGUGGCGAACGGGUGAGUAACACGUGGGUAACCUGCCCAUCAGAGGGGGAUAACAUCCGGAAACGGAUGCUAAAACCGCAUAGGUCUUCGAACCGCAUGGUUUGAAGAGGAAAAGAGGCGCAAGCUUCUGCUGAUGGAUGGACCCGCGGUGCAUUAGCUAGUUGGUGAGGUAACGGCUCACCAAGGCCGUGAUGCAUAGCCGACCUGAGAGGGUGAUCGGCCACAUUGGGACUGAGACACGGCCCAAACUCCUACGGGAGGCAGCAGUAGGGAAUCUUCCGCAAUGGACGCAAGUCUGACGGAGCAACGCCGCGUGAGUGAAGAAGGUUUUCGGAUCGUAAAACUCUGUUGUUAGAGAAGAACAAGUGCUAGAGUAACUGUUAGCGCCUUGACGGUAUCUAACCAGUAAGCCACGGCUAACUACGUG
rnacentral:rRNA from 1 species